UCGGGAAUUUUGGGCAAUGGGGGAAACCCUGACCCAGCAACGCCGCGUGAAGGAUGAAGUAUUUCGGUAUGUAAACUUCGAAAGAAUAGGAAGAAUAAAUGACGGUACUAUUUAUAAGGUCCGGCUAACUACGUGCCAGCAGCCGCGGUAAUACGUAGGGACCAAGCGUUGUUCGGAUUUACUGGGCGUAAAGGGCGCGUAGGCGGCAAUUCAAGUCAUCUGUGAAAUCUCCGGGCUUAACUCGGAACGGUCAGAUGAUACUGCUUUGCUAGAGUGCAGAAGGGGCAAUCGGAAUUCUUGGUGUAGCGGUGAAAUGCGUAGAUACCAAGAGGAACACCUGAGGUGAAGACGGGUUGCUGGGCUGACACUGACGCUGAGGCGCGAAAGCCAGGAGAGCAAACGGGAUUAGAUACCCAGGUAGUCCCUGAGCGGGCUGGCAAGGCGCAU
rnacentral:rRNA from 1 species